GAUGAACGCUGGCGGCGUGCCUAAUACAUGCAAGUCGAGCGAACGGACGAGAAGCUUGCUUCUCUGAUGUUAGCGGCGGACGGGUGAGUAACACGUGGAUAACCUACCUAAAGACUGGGAUAACUUCGGGAAACCGUAGCUAAUACCGGAUAAUAUUUUGAACCGCAUGGUUCAAAAGUGAAAGACGGUCUUGCUGUCACUUAUAGAUGGAUCCGCGCUGCAUUAGCUAGUUGGUAAGGUAACGGCUUACCAAGGCAACGAUGCAUAGCCGACCUGAGAGGGUGAUCGGCCACACUGGAACUGAGACACGGUCCAGACUCCUACGGGAGGCAGCAGUAGGGAAUCUUCCGCAAUGGGCGAAAGCCUGACGGAGCAACGCCGCGUGAGUGAUGAAGGUCUUCGGAUCGUAAAACUCUGUUAUUAGGGAAGAACAUAUGUGUAAGUAACUGUGCACAUCUUGACGGUACCUAAUCAGAAAGCCACGGCUAACUACGUG
rnacentral:rRNA from 1 species